rnacentral:misc_RNA from 1 species
AUGGAAUAUCACUUUUGAUCGAUUGCAUGAUUUCUUCAUGCAGGACUUAUGUAGGUAUAUGUAAAUGGAAAGUAUCCAUGCAUAACAUUAUACAUAACCUCAUCAGUAUGACAGCAUUGAUAGUCGCAUGGUCCAUUUAUUCGCAUAUGUUGCAAACAAAAAUAGAGGAUGGAUCACGAGGAUGAAUUCCUUAAUGCCUUCUUCACACAGGUCGCUCAAUUAUGCUCCGAUAAGGCUAAGGAAACAGUUGAGAAAGAAAGGGAAUCAUGUAAGCAGAUGCAAAUGGGUCCAUGGGGAAUGCUGCUGUUGCAUUUACCACAGAUAGCUGUUGCAGAGCGUUCAUAUGCGGAUUUAGGUUUCCUCAAUACUAAAAAUAAAGGUUUUCUUAGGAAGGAUAAUUCUUUAAAGACUGUCUAUGAAUCACUGAAGUCUGAUUUGAAAAGAUUAGAGGAAAUGACUAAGGGAACAAAUUCCAUUGGUACGGCAGUCGCAAAUGUUUCCAGUCAGCUCUGUCAGUUCAUCACGGCAAGAAUCCAGCUGAUAGAUUUCUACGAAAAAAUGUACAAUAUGAGUGUAAAUAGCAAAGUUAUGAAGCAUCAAGAAUUGCUGCAGUAUAUAGAAGGAAUAGUAAAAUGUUAUUUGUUAUCCUGUUCUCAUUUGGCAUUAACUGCUAUCAAAACAAGUUUAACAUUAGAAUGUGAAAUACUAGUACAAUUAAUGAAAGCACAAGUGGAAGUUCAAAAUUGGAGAUUUUUACCAACUCUGAUGGCACUCUACGGAGCGCAAACGCGAAUGUCAGCUUGGGAAAGAACUCUGCAGAGCAAGGAGUCUUGGAAAUUGGGUUUUGGUGCGACAUUUCUCAAGGCAAAUCAACAACCAGCGCUGUACCAAUGGCUGAUGAAGCUCCGUAGUGCCAUAUUAGCUAAGUGUUCUCUGUAUUUCCACACUACUUUAAGCCAACAAGCUAGUCCAGGGGAAAUGAGGAGUAUUAUGAGCAAGCAGAGUAUAGAUUACUAUCAUAAGAUACAGAGUUUUCAACGAAAAUACGAUAUACUAGCGGUAUUGAUAAUCUUCGACUCCAGAGAAACUGAAAAUUCAGGUUCUGGAUAUAGACAUCCAGGAAGAGGAGCAAACUCUUUUGAGAGUUUUCCCGUUGUUGUUUGUUGUCCUAGUACAUUCACGCAGAAACCAUCAGUACACUUGGAUAAUAUCCAGACUAAGAUAAAGGAACGACACGCCGAACUUCUUACUAUGGACAAAGUAAUUUGCCAUAAAAGUAUGAAGGAUUCGUGUACAUAUUCUUUCCACAACACUGAUCCCACAAUGACUCUCGUGAUUGCAUUUGAAAACGGGAAACAAAAGGAUAAAGAAACCCACAUUACAUCGUUUAUGAUGGACCUCUCUAUGCAAAUUAGAUGCAAUAAGAUGAACAGAAUGGACCAAUCACGGAUCGACAUAGAUUACGACAAAACGACAUUUGAUAAAUUACAUACAGCGUAAAAAAAUCUCAAUCAGCGUAACACUUAAAAUAUAGCUCAAUCAGCUGAUCCCAGCUGUUCCAGCGGCUGAUCAUUCGGUAAGUUGGCACCAUCUACCGAGAAAUGCCUGACACUAAUUAUAUUUGCGAAUAUAUUUUUCAAUUUUCAGCAUUUUCAAGAUAUCGCAAUAAUGGCUGCGUUCAGCAGAAAAAGCAACUUUGCAAUUGUUGUAAAAUUCUUUAAUAUGAUUAGUCUUGCCCUUAGUUCCACUGGAUCUAAAUGUAUAAACCAAUGUGUCAGGCAUUUCUCAGUAGAUGGUGCCAACGUACCGAGUGCGAUCAGCUGCCGGAACAGUUGGGAACAGCUGAUUGAGUUGAUAUUUUAAGUGUUGUGCUGAUUGAGAUUUUUUUACGCUUGAUAAGACUGGACGAGGCGCAGUUUUGCGGAUUUGCGGCGUUGCGAGGUUAUGUGCCAGAAGUAUCACGAGCGUUUUGUGUAUCUCUCAUCUUCGGGACGCAACAAAGAUCAAUAGAGUAUUGAAUCAACUUUCCAACUGAAGUAUCAGUGAGAUAUUGUCGGUGAGGAUACAAAAA